GAAUCACUGGACGUGUGUGAAGUGACUGAAGGAAGAAGAGAGGAAAGGAAUGAUUGUGUUAAGUGGCAAAAACCCAGCCAUGGAGCGAUUGUCAUUCAGUGUGCUUGUCAACCUGAAAGUGAUGAAGGCACCCAGAGAUGAACUUACCACUUUGGAUGUGGAUUGACCUGUGAAAAAUGAAGUCAUUCUUCUCCCAUCCCUCUGUGGAAUUUUACCCUUCCAUUAAC
rnacentral:lncRNA from 1 species